rnacentral:piRNA from 1 species
UUGUAGAACUGAAAUUCUUUCAAGU